GUGCCUGAAACCUUGGCUCAGGCCUGGCUAUACGACAAGGUGAGCAAAGUUUCAGGUGUUU
rnacentral:pre_miRNA from 1 species